GAGCACUGGCCGAUCAGACAUACCAAGAUGGUCUCACAGGCUCAACUCAUCUGCCUGCUAGUGCUCUGGCUCCAGGACACCAAUGCGCAGAUUGUGCUGACUCAGACUCCAGAAUCCCUUGCAGUUUCUCCUGGAGACACAGUGACUAUCCGCUGCAAAGCCAGUUCAAGCCUCACUGCUGGUAGCUAUAACGUACUAGCCUGGUACCAACAGAAAGCAGGACAAGCUCCUAAAAGGCUUAUCUAUCAUGCUACCUCCCGGCCAUCUGGGGUUCCAACCCGGUUCAGCGGCAGUGGCUCUGGCACCGACUACACUCUCACAAUCAGCAGAGUUGAAGCUGAAGAUGCUGGAGAUUAUUAUUGUCAACAAGGCAAGAGCUUGCCUCUCACAGUGAUACAGACCAAUACAAAAACCUCCCCAUCCUGUUCCUUUCAGUGGACACCUGCUUCCUAUACCUACUUGCUACACUAGAUUUCAGACAGCAUUUUGAUCAGUCUUGCAACACCAGGCAGAGUCCUGUGCACCCAU